rnacentral:misc_RNA from 1 species
AUUUCUCUUUCCCCUUCGAUGGCGACUGGUAAGAGUUACUUCUCUCGCUCCAAGUUCCGCUUUCUUCCCGCCGGCGAUGGACCCGACCACCGCCGUGGCGACGCCGUCUUCGAUUUUGACGAGUCCGACCUCUUCAACCCCCCGCACUCCGGAACCUCCCCGGAGUUCCGUCGUUCGGCCACCAAAAAGCGAAUCUCAAAGCGGAUUUCGCCUGUCGACGCCGGAGACCGGAGCGUAACGACGGUGUCUGCAGCGUCUCUGCCGGUCAACAUCCCUGACUGGUCGAAGAUCCUGAGAAACGAGUAUAUCGAGAAUCGGAGAGACGACUUCGACGACGACGAGGAUGAAGACGACGGCGGCGGCCAUGACUUCGAGGAAGGACGAUUUAGGGUUCCGCCGCAUGAAUUUCUGGCGAAGACAAGAAUCGCUUCGUUUUCGGUUCACGAAGGAAUCGGAAGAACGUUGAAAGGGAGAGAUCUGAGCAGAGUUCGAGAUGCGAUUUGGCAAAAAACUGGAUUUGAAGAUUGAUUGGAUUGAAUUGAAUUUGAACAAACACGAAGAACAAUUAUCG